GAAAUGCGAUAAGUAAUGUGAAUUGCAGAAUUCAGUGAAUCAUCGAAUCUUUGAACGCACCUUGCGCUCCUUGGUAUUCCUUGGAGCAUGCCUGUUUGAGUAUCAUGAAAUCUUCAAAGUAAAUCUUUUGUUAACUCAAUUGGUUUCUACUUUGGUAUUGGAGGUCUUUGCAGCUUCACACCUGCUCCUCUUUGUUCAUUAGCUGGAUCUCAGUGUUAUGCUUGGUUCCACUCGGCGUGAUAAGUUAUCUAUCGCUGAGGACACUGUAAAAGGUGGCCAAGGUAAAUGCAGAUGAACCGCUUCUAAUAGUCCAUUGACUUGGACAAUAAUUUUAUGAUCUGAUCUCAAAUCAGGUAGGACUACCCGCUGAACUUAAGC
rnacentral:misc_RNA from 1 species